UGUGGACAUGGGCUGGUCAAUGUUUGCUUCUCAUUCUUCUAAACGCACCCAACUAGAAUGUAACUUCAGGGCCCAAGGACGAGAAAACAGAAAGGUUUGCCAGGUGUUUGAUUCGUAGAGGUUUUGGAGGGCUGGCUUUUUCUUCAAAUCAAGAGCUUUUGCUCAUUGCGGUUCUUUUCGGGUUACAACUAUUCUUGCUCUUGCUCUGUUUACGUGCUGAAAAUAAUUCAAAGCCAAAGUCUCAUCUUGGUGGAAGUAUUUGGCCAAUUCCAGGCAGAAGAGAGUCUUUCCAUCUGAGUUGAACUGGCUCGCUUGAACUGGGUCUUGCGGAUUAAAGGAUGACCUCCAGUUAUUCAGGAGACCGGUUCUGUUUAUGAUCACAAACCCUUCAAUGUAAUCAAAUGUCUUUUCCACAGAUAUUAGAUUUUCCUGGUCAAUUGUAAAUGUGGUGAAAUCUGAGUACAGCACCCUGAUCCAUUUUACCUGCUCAAAAUGGAGAAUUGUAUUACAACUGGCUUUCAUGCAGGAUAUUUAUCCACAACUCGCCACCAGAGACAUCCACAUAAGGAGAAUUUCCAGGGUGAACCUGCAUAUCCGGUCCUUGUAGUGAUUCCAUGUUAAUCACAACUCCUCGGUGUGCUUGUGACUGGCC